CUCACUACCACUAAUGGUACUAAGAAUUUUUUUUAUUGUUAACACUUCCCAUCAUGAUGUCUGAGUCGCCAUCUGCCUUGCGCUCUAUAAUAUCAAGAGAGACGCCGUAAGACAAACAUUUAUAGGAUCUCAUGACACGAACAGCUGGGCGGGGACUCACUCACGAAGGAGCCAUAAAACUGGUCCUUCGCUGCCUCCUGUCAUGGUAUCCUACGCCCCUGCAACACGCCUGUCCCCGCAACGCACCCCACACAGGAAGACCCGAAGGUGAAUUACUGAGGACGCAAUAAGUUAAAUGUCACGAGUCCAAGCAAGGGUGAGAUGCAGGAAUAGGGAAGAAAUGUUGACCGUGAUUCUCGUUUUCUAAUUUCAUGUUUCUUUUUCUCUUUUCGUGAUUUUUUUAGUUUUUUUUUUUUUGGAUUGAGUUAUUUUUAUUGAUUUAUAUUUAAGGAUUUUUUUUUUUUCUUUAUGUUGUAUUUUGUGUCUUUAUUUUUUUGUAUAUUUUCUUUAUGAAUUGUUUUAGACACGUUACUUUCCUUUG